rnacentral:rRNA from 1 species
UAACGCGUGAGGAACCUGCCUCAAAGAGGGGGACAACAGUUGGAAACGACUGCUAAUACCGCAUAAGCCCACAGCUCGGCAUCGAGCAGAGGGAAAAGGAGCAAUCCGCUUUGAGAUGGCCUCGCGUCCGAUUAGCUAGUUGGUGAGGUAACGGCCCACCAAGGCGAGGAUCGGUAGCCGGACUGAGAGGUUGAACGGCCACAUUGGGACUGAGACACGGCCCAGACUCCUACGGGAGGCAGCAGUGGGGAAUAUUGCACAAUGGGGGAAACCCUGAUGCAGCGACGCCGCGUGGAGGAAGAAGGUCUUCGGAUUGUAAACUCCUGUUGUUGAGGAAGAUAAUGACGGUACUCAACAAGGAAGUGACGGCUAACUACGUGCUAGCAGCCGCGGUAAAACGUAGGUCACAAGCGUUGUCCGGAAUUACUGGGUGUAAAGGGAGCGCAGGCGGGAAGACAAGUUGGAAGUGAAAUCCAUGGGCUCAACCCAUGAACUGCUUUCAAAACUGUUUUUCUUGAGUAGUGCAGAGGUAGGCGGAAUUCCCGGUGUAGCGGUGGAAUGCGUAGAUAUCGGGAGGAACACCAGUGGCGAAGGCGGCCUACUGGGCACCAACUGACGCUGAGGCUCGAAAGUGUGGGUAGCAAACAGGAUUAGAUACCCUGGUAGUCCACACUGUAAACGAUGAUUACUAGGUGU